AGCUUUGUGCGGUGCCAGCAUCAUAGCCAAUGACGUUUAUCCGAGGCGUGAUUAUUGCUAAUUGAAAACUGUUCCCAACUGG
rnacentral:snRNA from 1 species